UUUAGGGCAAAGCGGAUGUCUUCUCCUCCUCCAGGAAUGCGUCAGGCGUCGUCGUCCUCCGCUUCUCCUUCCGUUCCAAUGGCGCUGCCCAGUGCAGCUAGCAAUGCGUGCGAUAGCAGCGGCGCUGGCGCCGGUGGAAUCAGGUCGCAAAUUCAUGUCGACGGCAAUCUGGGAGCUCUGUGCGAGCACAUUCAAGCUCAGGGCUGGAAUUCCAGGGCAUUCUCAGAUAUUGUGGUUCAUGCCAUGGGAUCCACAUUCUAUCUCCAUCGCCUGCUGCUGUCGCGAAGCUCCUUCUUCAGAAAUAUGCUCCAGGGACCAUGGAAGGAAGCCAGUGCUACCGAAGUGAAGCUCCAAAUUGACGACGAGAACGUAAAUGCCGAGGCAGUGGCGACUGCUCUGAGUUAUUUAUAUGGCCAUCAGCCGAGACUAGACGAUGGAAAUGCCUUUCGCGUGCUUGCUGCCGCGUCGUUUCUAGACUUACAGGAUUUAUGCGCCUUUUGCACAGAUUUCAUUAUUUCCGAGCUCUGGACUGAGAACUUCUUGUCGUACCAGGCCUUCGCAGAGACGCAAGAUUAUGGUAUCCACGGAGAGCGCGUCCAGAAGGCGUGCUGGGGAUAUCUGUGCCGUGGUGCUGCAGUCGAACUUCGAGAGAUUCUUCCAAAACUUUCAGCUCAAACUCUACGUACGUUAUUAACGUCUGACGAGCUCUGGGUUCCUAGCGAAGAGAAAAGGUUCGAGCUAGCAUUGAGUGUGCUCAUUGCUAGAGGUGUUGUUACGGAGAUUGAUUCGUCCUCCAUUUCGGAUGAACUCUCGGAAACAGGUCUUGGAGACACGUCCUCGGACGUGUAUGUUAUGCCGUUGAGGACCGAAGAAACAGGUGGUUCAUACCAAGCCGAAGCUCAUCAAAACAACGAGGGCGACGUCGUCCAAGCCAUUCAAAGCAUCAUCUUGGAGAUGGUGGAUACAGCCACAACUGCCAAAGAACAGGUCACUCGUGGCUCGAGCUUGGGUUUGGAGGCAAAUAUUACAGGUAGAAUGGAGGCUGCUCGGGAAGAGUUUUGGAAAGGUGGUGGCGGCGAAUGUUCGUCCUCAACAAAAUCUUCUUCCCAUAACUGGGCUCGUCCGUCCCCAUCUUGGGGUGGACGAUUGGUUGGGCGAAAAUCAAUGAAGGCUUACCCAAACAGCGACUGGACCAACAACGACGAAUGGGAAACGUUCAUAAGCGUUUUUGAAAGUGGAGGGAUACACUAUUGUCACAUGCCUUUUGAGGACUUGCUAGACUCAAGAGCUCGUCUCGAAGAGCUGGGAUUUCCUUGCAAGUCCGUUGCCGACGGGCUUUGGUUACAGACACUUCUCAGGCAACAAGUCUUGUCCGUUGCCGCGGAUACGUGCAAACUCUGCAGCGUUUCUCUCGCUUUAUGCCAGUGCAGGCAGUCGUAUGUCUAUCCACCACACGGUCGAAUCUCGACGCCUAUUCCUUACCGGGAAGAGCAAGACAAAAGCCAAGUUUUAGGAAUUCAUCCGCUGCCCGAGAAUCAAAACUUGCCUGCUGCAUCGAACGGGCAAGCCAGAGUCCAUGUCAGAGGAGGCAUGGACGGCCUCGCUGGUAUCGGUCGCAAUGGUACUACAUGGCCGCCAGCUCGUAUAAUGUUUUCGAGAGUACCUUUCCCUGGUCCACACAGGGGGAACCAACAGCAGCAGCUCAUAGCAAACGAUCAAGCGGUUGACUACACGGCAAUGGAUUUGCCAACUUAUUCUGUGGAUGGCUUGAAUAUGGUGGUCGGACUGAGCCAGGGGAUGAGCAGCGUUCCAGUUCAGUCAGAUAACAAUGGCCGGCCAGAGGAUCAAACGCUUCAAAGAUCAGUGACCGGAGAAUCCGUCAAUUCUGAGAAGCUUGAUGUUCAACUGGCCUCAAGAGAGAUUGGCCAGGGGUCGUCAACAAUAUCCCUGGAUUUGCGAACGCCUUUGCGAAGUUUCCCUCCAUUUCGCUUCGGGGUAGAGUUUGAUGACGUGCAGAGACUAACAGAUGGACAGUCGAAGCACUCACCUGAAGUGUUUUAUGCGGGCUCGCUUUGGAAGGUGAGCGUUCAGGCUUUUAAUGAUGAAGACCCACGCUGCAGGCGAACACUCGGAUUGUUUCUACAUCGGCGGAAAGCGGAUGAUUCUGGACCUUUUAGAAAAGUUUCUCUUUACAUAGACACGAGAGAAAAGGUGACAGCACGGUAUCAGUUGAUAUGUCCUGCAAAGCGAGGUGUUAUGACUUUAGGCAGCCUAACCCAAGGAGGCACACUUCUCCCCAAAGCUCCCAAAGGCUGGGGUUGGCGAACGGCGUUCCUAUUCGAUGAACUUGUGGAUCUUCUUCAAGGAAACACGUUCCGAGUUUCAGCGGUGGUGCAAGUCGUGGCCAGCCAGUACGUCUGAGAAGAACUUUUAUAGGAAUGUGGGCUGUUCACUAUUUGACGGAGCAAAACCUGCAUCUAGGGCUCUAUGAGGUUGCUGGACGAUAGAAAUGGAGCCUCAUGAGAAUCCAAGAGCGACAGGGAAAUAGAGCAGGGAAGAGCAAUGCUGGGAUCCAGCUAGAAGUUUUCUACUUGGCUGGGAGGAAG